GACACAUCUCAGUCAUCAUCUCUAUCUGCACUGCUGUGAUGCAGAGAGGGCUCCUUCUCUGUUUUGAGCCGUAGCAGUGACAGACUUGUCAAGACAACCCAUGAAUGAAAUGUGAUGAAGAGCCCUUACAGAGUGUCCAAAGAU
ensembl:processed_transcript